UACGUAGGUGGCAAGCGUUGUCCGGAUUUAUUGGGUUUAAAGGGUGCGUAGGCGGACCAUCAAGUCGGUUGUGAAAUCCCUCGGCUUAACCGAGGACGUGCAUUCGAAACUGAUGGCCUUGAGUUCGAAAGAGGAUCGCGGAAUUCCCGGUGUAGAGGUGAAAUUCGUAGAUAUCGGGAGGAACACCAGUGGCGAAGGCGGCGAUCUGGGUCGAAACUGACGCUGAGGUGCGAAAGCGUGGGGAGCAAACAGG
rnacentral:rRNA from 1 species